CAAUACACAAUACACACGCAAAUCUAGCAUUCUUUUCUCUCCACCCUCUCACUGCCAGAGCUUAUUGAAGCUCUGACAAAACCACUGCUUAAACCCGAUCCACCAUCAGCCCCCUUUUUUUCUAUAUUUUUCGACCAAAUACACUCCAAACCAGUAACACCCUCUCUUUACUCCUCCAUUUUACUGCUAGCUCGCCGGAGGUGGUGACUGGAGAGCUUUGAGCUCCAGCAGUGCCACCACCACGCCCCUCUCCCACUGAUGUCUCUUUUUUCCUCUCCCAUCACUGCACCCUCUUUCCACUGCCCAAAACGUGAUGGGCUAGAUCUGUUCGAAAUUUGUAUUGUCGGUGUUGCUUCAAUGAAGUCGUAUAAGCAACAUCACCACUUUUCCCUAUAGCCUCUUUGUUUUGCUACUGUUUCACUAAUAGCGACCAGAUCUGGUCGGACUUUUCAUGGUUUAAGUGUUCCUCCGAUCAGGCAGACAGGAUGUCGUUUGCAGUGAUCUCUUCUUUAAUAUGUAUUCAUAUAUGUUAUAAUUAUUUUCUUGAUUUAUUUUUUGUUGUUCAUUAUAUCAUUUCUUUUCAAUUUUUAUCAGAUUUGUGGUUUGUUCGGGUGUUUUGAUUGUUACUUGCUAGUAUCAUAGUUGUGGAACAACUUUGCUAGUUUCAUGUCUGUUAUUGCCUUUGUUUUGGGGUUGAUUAACAUUCUGUUUUGGGUAAUUACAUUACAUUUUACCCCUUAUAAUUUUAUUACACUAAUAAUGAACAAGAUACUACACAUUUGGGGCGAUGAAGAAAUUUUUCAUCGAUUUUCGAGGCCUCCAUAAAUAAAAGACGGAUAUUACGUAUACAAAUAUGUAAUAAAAAG
rnacentral:lncRNA from 1 species